rnacentral:rRNA from 1 species
AACGAACGCUGGCAGCAGGCCUAACACAUGCAAGUCGAGCGAGGACUUCGGUCCUAGCGGCGGACGGGUGAGUAACGCGUGGGAACGUGCCCUUUGCUACGGAAUAGCCCCGGGAAACUGGGAGUAAUACCGUAUGUGCCCGUCGGGGGAAAGAUUUAUCGGCAAAAGAUGGGGCCGCGUUGGGUUAGGUGGUUGGUGGGGUAAUGGCCUACCAAGCCGACGAUCCAUAGCUGGUUUGAGAGGAUGAUCAGCCACACUGGGACGGAGACACGGCCCAGACACCUAGGGGAGGGAGCAGUGGGGAAUCUUAGACGAUGGGGGAAAACCUGAUCUAGCCAUGCCGCGUGAUCGAUGAAGGCCUUAGGGGUGUAAAGAUCUUUCAGUGGGGGAAGAUAAUGACUGUACCCCAAGAAGAAGCCCCGGCUAACUCCGUGCCAGCAGCCGCCGUAAUAC